rnacentral:rRNA from 1 species
GACGAACGCUGGCGGCGUGCUUAACACAUGCAAGUCGAACGAAGAGCGAUGGAAGCUUGCUUCUAUCAAUCUUAGUGGCGAACGGGUGAGUAACGCGUAAUCAACCUGCCCUUCAGAGGGGGACAACAGUUGGAAACGACUGCUAAUACCGCAUACGAUCCAAUCUCGGCAUCGGGACUGGAUGAAAGGUGGCCUCUAUUUAUAAGCUAUCACUGAAGGAGGGGAUUGCGUCUGAUUAGCUAGUUGGAGGGGUAACGGCCCACCAAGGCGAUGAUCAGUAGCCGGUCUGAGAGGAUGAACGGCCACAUUGGGACUGAGACACGGCCCAGACUCCUACGGGAGGCAGCAGUGGGGAAUCUUCCGCAAUGGACGAAAGUCUGACGGAGCAACGCCGCGGGAGUGAUGACGGCCUUCGGGUUGUAAAGCUCUGUUAAUCGGGACGAAUGGUUCUUGUGCGAAUAGUGCGAGGAUUUGACGGUACCGGAAUAGAAAGCCACGGCUAACUACGUG